UAGUACCUGUGAAGAUGCAGGUUACCCGCGACAGGACGGAAAGACCCCGUGGAGCUUUACUGUAGACUGAUAUUGAAAUUCGGCACAGCUUGUACAGGAUAGGAAGGAGCCUUUGAAACGUGAGCGCUAGCUUACGUGGAGGCGCUGGUGGGAUACUACCCUAGCUGUGUUGGCUUUCUAACCCGCACCACUUAUCGUGGUGGGAGACAGUGUCAGGCGGGCAGUUAGACUGGGGCGGUAGCCUCCUAAAAGGUAUCGGUGGCGCUCAAAGGUUCCCUCUGAAUGGUUGGAAAUCAUUCUUAG
rnacentral:rRNA from 1 species